rnacentral:rRNA from 1 species
UACAGAGAGUGCGAACGUUGUUCGGAAUCACUGGGCAUAAAGCGCACGUAGGCGGCCUUUCAAGUGUGGAGUGAAAUCCCACGGCUUACCCGUGGAACUGCUUCGCAUACUGUUUGGCUCGAGGAUGGUAGAGGAGAGCGGAACUCCUGGUGGAGCGGUGAAAUGCGUAGAUAUCAGGAGGAACACCGAUGGCGAAGGCAGUUCUCUGGGCCGUAACUGACGCUGAGGAGCGAAAGCGUGGGGAGCGAACAGG